rnacentral:rRNA from 1 species
GUGAGGAAUUUUCCGCAAUGGGCGAAAGCCUGACGGAGCAAUGCCGCGUGAAGGAUGAGGGCCUAUGGGUUGUAAACUUCUUUUCUUAGCGAAGAAUAUUGACGGUAUCUGAGGAAUAAGCAUCGGCUAACUCUGUGCCAGCAGCCGCGGUAAGACAGAGGAUGCAAGCGUUAUCCGGAAUGAUUGGGCGUAAAGCGUCUGUAGGUGGCUUCAAAAGUCUCCUGUCAAAGAUCAGGGCUUAACCCUGGGCCGGCAGGAGAAACUCUGAGGCUAGAGUUUGGUAGGGGCAGAGGGAAUUCCCGGUGGAGCGGUGAAAUGCGUAGAGAUCGGGAGGAACACCAAAGGCGAAAGCACUCUGCUGGGCCACAACUGACACUGAGAGACGAAAGCGAGGGGAGCAAAAGGGAUUAGAUACCCGAGUAGUCC